CUACGCACUCCUACGGGAGGCAGCAGUGGGGAAUAUUGCACAAUGGGCGCAAGCCUGAUGCAGCCAUGCCGCGUGUAUGAAGAAGGCCUUCGGGUUGUAAAGUACUUUCAGCAGUGAGGAAGGUGGGUAUGUUAAUAGCAUACUCAUUUGACGUUAGCUGCAGAAGAAGCACCGGCUAACUCCGUGCCAGCAGCCGCGGUAAUACGGAGGGUGCGAGCGUUAAUCGGAAUUACUGGGCGUAAAGCGCAUGCAGGUGGUUUGUUAAGUCAGAUGUGAAAGCCCGGGGCUCAACCUCGGAAUUGCAUUUGAAACUGGCAAACUAGAGUACUGUAGAGGGGGGUAGAAUUUCAGGUGUAGCGGUGAAAUGCGUAGAGAUCUGAAGGAAUACCGGUGGCGAAGGCGGCCCCCCUGGACAGAUACUGACACUCAGAUGCGAAAGCGUGGGGAGCAAACAGGAUUAGAUACCCUGGUAG
rnacentral:rRNA from 1 species